GGAGGUGCCCUUCUGAAACAUUUGAAACCACCAUUACACACCAUAAUGAAGAAAUGAGGUAGCGAAAUAUGGCAAGUGCAGGAUCAACCUUAAGCUUUGGGAAGUAAAGCCCUAGAUUAGGGCUCCAAAUACUUUUAGAUCUACUCAACGUUAGGGUUAAUGCUUCAAAUUUAAAAUAAAAUUUAAAAUAGAUUUGAGGUCUUGCCCAAUCAUUCAUUAGCAGGUAUGUAGAAUUAAAAUAGUUGUUUUUUGUUGUCACUCGCUUAGAAAAGUAUUUUGAUUGUUGCAGCUCCUCAUUUGUGUUGUUCUUGACUGGGAAUUCUUGUUAUGUCCUUGAAAUGCCUUUCUAUUUUUCUCAUUUUUUAUUUGGUGCGAGAACAUUCAUAAUGCUUAACUAAUAUGCAUGAUAGAUUUUGUACACUUAAUAAAGCACGCCGGGUGUUCGAUGCCAUGCCGAAGAGAGGCGCUUUCAAUUUUACGCAUGCCAACAAGAUUACAUGACUUGGGAGUUUAGUGGAAGAGUGAAAGGUAUAAAGAUGGAUAUUGUAGACACAACAAGUGCUCAAGAAUCAGGAUGCUUUUCUAGCUGGAGUAUCAUCAAAACAGUAAUGCAUUAAAACAGUCUGUUCCAAUCCUUAAGACGAUCUAUACUCAAUCGUUCGUAAAAGGUUUAUUUUCUUUCUAAUUUGUGUUUUGACUUGAACAUUUGCUUUAGGAUUGAAGUUUUUUUUUUUUUUUUUUCUGAUUGAUGUUAAUUACAUUCGCUGAAUGAAUUCGUCCAUGAAACAAGCCUAAAUCAGGUAUCACAAAUUUGGGCUUUGUCAUACGUAGUUCUUCUAGUUAUGCGAAGUAGACUUUGUUUGCUGUUAGCAAGGAUUGGAACUUGAUAAAAUGUAGACAUAGAAUUGAUGUCAUAUUAUAGAACCCUGCUAUUAGCCUAUCACUUGAUACAUGUGUAGUAGCUCAUGUUGUUAAAUGUGUAUAACUUGAUCGUUGUAGUUUAAAGUCCUUAACAUUAUUUUUCACGCCCAUUUUGCUAAACUAUUUUGGUUUUUAUUUAUUUUUAAUUUACAUCACACAGUUCUAUUACACAAUAGUCUCGAUAUUUGUGUGUUGAUAUGUUUUAAUUUUGCCACAGUUCUUUGUAAUCCUUUAUUCCUUGUACAUUUUGUUUUUAUCAUUGCUCAUAUUACUAAUUUAUUUGUACAGCUGUACUUGAUGAUACUAUGUAUUUCCACAACUUGUGAGGUUGAAUUUAUAAGCAGCGCUUUUUGAUCUAGGAGAUAGUUUAAUACGUCUGCUUGGUGUUUGAUGCGUUUAUAAUUUUAUAUAAAUAAUGUUUGCUGAGAAUCAUUCUUAAAAAAGGCGUGCAAUGAUUGACAAGUCUUUUAAUUGAAGAGCUUGGAUGAAAAACCGAAGAAACGAGGCAUUGUAAUUUAAAAAAAAAAGAAUGACUUUGGAAGUAAAAGAAAAGUUACUUCAGAGGAACCUUUUAUGUGUGUUGUGUCAUUAGAGCAUAAUUUUUUUUUUUUUUUUUUUUUUGCAUUUGUUGAUUUGACCAAAAAAACCUUGAAUGUAAAGACGCUUAGAGGUUUCUAUUGAUUGUACAUCAUUAUAAUAUUAGCUUAUUUUGCCAAGUUUGAUCCCUACUGAUCAUUACAUUCGCAAUAGUUUUGGGGGCAUUGUGCUAAAAAUUCUGUCUGUUGUGUAGAAUUUUUAGGAUGAUAUGGUCCAAGAGUACUUGGAUGCACCUUUAAGACAUUCUCUAACUUGUGUGCAUGUGGCAUCUAAAGUCUUUUUUAUGGGGUUACCAUUUUGGGUUCGUUCGAAAUUUAGACAUCUCUUGCUUUUAUCUUUCUUGACCCCUUAAAACAAAUAUACGAGCAUGCUUCUAUAUUUGUUACAUUUUGACUUAAGUUAAUAAAUUAUGUGAAGUUGUAAACCAUGUAAUAAGACUCAAAGUUUGUUUAAACUUUGUUCCUUCACAUGUAGGGUAGUGAAUGAACCACUUGAAAGUAUAUGAUAUCCAAUGUUCUUGGUUUAGAUGGGAAUAGCAUGGCAAAAGGUAUGUUUUUAUUUAUUAUUAUAUUAAAUGUCAAUCUUUUUGUUAUUAUUUGCAUUUGGGCAGUGUUUUAUGAGCUUUGUGCAGUGUUUGUGUAAAUGAGGGUCUGAUAGUACGUGUCUUGGUGGCGCCUUUGUUCGGUCUUAGUUCAAUGGUUGGAUGGCUGAUGAAUCUAGGCGUUGUUUUGCCUAUUUUCUUUAAUGCUUCAAGGUAUAUUCAUUAUGAGGGUGCUAAGGUUUAAACCAAGCGUCUGCUACGUAUUGAAGAGGACCACUUAAGGAAAAAAAUGAGCUAAAAGCUUUACGAAAAGAUUUUGAAGGCCAGUGAGCAACUUUGAAGCUACGGUGUGAAAUAUUAUGAAAAGGCUACACAUUUAAGUAUUUCGGGAUUUUAGAUUAGAUUAAUAGGAUGUUUAUUGUAAACUAUAUUUAUUUAUUACAUUGUUAUUUUGAGAUUGGACACAUGUAAAAUUACCGUAACAAUUAUAUAUCUUAUUUAUGUUAUUAUUGUGUUAGU
rnacentral:lncRNA from 1 species